rnacentral:lncRNA from 1 species
AAGCAAUUUAUCUAAGUAAGUAAGUGAGUAAGUUAGACAAUGACAAGAGGCAUUACAAACACAACAAACAUAUAGUGGUUCGGUGCACCCCAGCACCUACAUCCACUCUCCAAGACCUCUUGGAAAUUUCACUAUAAUCCUACAGAUUACAGCCGGUUGUUUUACAAGCUCACAACCCAACUUGUUGUUUUGCGAGAUAACAACGAACUCGGUCGGUUUUCACAGGCUCACCGACUAGAACCAACCGAUUGUUUUUCCGGGUUCACAAUCAAA